rnacentral:rRNA from 1 species
UACGUAGGGGGCAAGCGUUGUCCGGAAUCAUUGGGCGUAAAGCGCGUGUAGGCGGCUACGUAAGUCUGCUGUGAAAGUCGGAGGCUCAACCUUCGAAAGCCGGUGGAUACUGCGUGACUAGAGUACGGAAGAGGAGAGUGGAAUUCCUGGUGUAGCGGUGAAAUGCGCAGAUAUCAGGAGGAACACCAACGGCGAAGGCAGCUCUCUGGGACGUUACUGACGCUGAGGAGCGAAAGCCAGGGGAGCAAACGGG